rnacentral:rRNA from 1 species
UACGAAGGGUGCAAGCGUUAUUCGGAAUCACUGGGCGUAAAGAGUGCGGAGACGGCAUUGUAAGUCAUUUGUUAAAGAGCCCGGCUUAACCGGGCAAAGGCGAGUGAUACUGCAAAGCUAGAGUACAGGAGAGAAAGGUAGAAUUCUCGGAGUAGCGGUAAAAUGCGUAGAUCUCGAGAGGAAUACCGGUUGCGAAGGCGGCCUUUUGGCCUGUAACAGACGUUUAAGCACGAAAGCGUGGGGAGCAAACAGGAUUAGAUACCCUGGUAGUCCACGCCGUAAACGAUGAUCACUAGAUGUGGGUGUUGCAUAGCAAUGCCUGUGUCGAAGCUAACGCGUUAAGUGAUCCGCCUGGGAAGUACGGUCGCAAGAUUAAA